rnacentral:pre_miRNA from 1 species
UUAAGUCUUUGUAUGGACUUGGAACAUUUUCCUACGUUUUCCGCUAGGGGCGCUGUUCCAACUGCAUACAAAUUCGAGUUA